CCUACGGGUGGCAGCAGUGAGGAAUAUUGGUCAAUGGCCGGAAGGCUGAACCAGCCAUGCCGCGUGACGGUCAGUGCCCUAUGGGCGUUAAACUUCUUUUGUGCGGGAGCAAUCCUGGUCACGUGUGGCCAGACGAGAGUACCGUACGAAUAAGCAUCGGCUAACUCCGUGCCAGCAGCCGCGGUAAUACGGGGGAUGCAAGCGUUAUCCGGAUUUAUUGGGUUUAAGGGGUGCGUAGGCUGUGAGGUAAGUCAGCGGUGAAAUGCCCCCGCUCAACGGGGUGAAGUGCCAUUGAUACUGCCUGGCUGGAAUGCGGAUGCCGUGGGAGGAAUGUGUGGUGUAGCGGUGAAAUGCAUAGAUAUCACACAGAACACCGAUUGCGAAGGCAUCUCACGAAUCCGCGAUUGACGCUGAUGCACGAAAGCGUGGGUAUCAAACAGGAUUAGAUACCCCUGUAGUC
rnacentral:rRNA from 1 species